ACUUCUUUCAUGUUAUCUUCAUAUGGCUAACAAGCAAGUAGUACAUCUUUGGAGUGCGACUUAUGGAGGGAGAGGCGAAUUUGUCCAAGCUUAUGCUCACUUCCCCGACCGGUAGGUGCAUAAUUUGCUAUAAAGCUAUUUAUAAAUUGAGGAGAUCCAUUCCCCUCUUCCUUUUCUUCCUUCGUAGAUUGAAAGAGAAUAUUCUUCCAUGGCCUCCAAGCGGGUUCUAAAGGAACUCAAGGACCUCUAGAAAGACCCUCCAACCUCUUGCAGUGCCGGUCCCGUAGCGGAACAUAUGUUUCAUUGGCAAGCAACUAAAAUGGAUCCCCCUUAUAGCCCUUAUGUUGGGGGUGUUUUUCUAGUUACUAUUCAUUUUCCUCCAGAUUAUCCAUUCAAGCCACCCAAGGUCGUUUCUUGAACCCCUUAGGUUGUGUAUCAUCAUUGAUCGCCAAUGCAACGGCAUCAUCCUUGUUCUUGUAAAUGCUAUGUGCUUGUAAGCGAAGCUCUUUUAUUUUCUUGCACAUGACAUUUGUACUUUCCUCUACCAGCUGACAAUAUUCUUUAGAAAGAGAUACAUCAGAUGCCACCCUAAUCAAUUUAGAUGCCAAAUGUCGAUACCUCCCUGUGCUAGAAAGUCUAGGAUCAUCUUCAACCUCUCUUCCCCUAAAAUCAUGUAUAAUGUCACUAUGACCUUCUCUUGCCACCUCUUAAGAAUGUAAUUUUUUGGGAACAACCUUUAUAUCAUUUGCUUCAAAUACUUUCAAUGCAUGAGAACAACAUAUACCAGUUGUCUCAAAUUUUUUACAACUACAAGAUAUAGAUAUUGAAGCACGAUCAAAUAAAACUUUCGAGGAUGUUUCAUGGUUGAUCCUUAUGAUGAUAUAUUCAAACAAAGGGAGUGAUUCAUUUCUUUGUGAAAUGCAAGAGGUGAAGAAUAAUGCAAACUCUUGUUGGAAUAAAUCAAACACAACGUGUGUGUAAACUUUUCCCAUUUGUUUCAAUAUUGGAGACAUUUCAUAUUUCAACUUUACUAGCUUAUGACAAUAGUCAUACUCACAAACUAGCUCAUUGUAACACUUUUCCUC